rnacentral:rRNA from 1 species
GAGUUUGAUCCUGGCUCAGAUUGAACGCUGGCGGCAUGCCUUACACAUGCAAGUCGAACGGCAGCACGGGAGCUUGCUCCUGGUGGCGAGUGGCGAACGGGUGAGUAAUGCAUCGGAACGUAUCCUGGAGUGGGGGAUAACGUAGCGAAAGUUACGCUAAUACCGCAUAUUCUGUGAGCAGGAAAGCGGGGGACCUUCGGGCCUCGCGCUCUUGGAGCGGCCGAUGUCGGAUUAGCUAGUUGGUGAGGUAAAGGCUCACCAAGGCGACGAUCCGUAGCAGGUCUGAGAGGAUGAUCUGCCACACUGGAACUGAGACACGGUCCAGACUCCUACGGGAGGCAGCAGUGGGGAAUUUUGGACAAUGGGGGCAACCCUGAUCCAGCCAUGCCGCGUGUGUGAAGAAGGUCUUCGGAUUGUAAAGCACUUUAAGUUGGGAGGAAGGGCAGUAAGUUAAUACCUUGCUGUUUUGACGUUACCGACAGAAUAAGCACCGGCUAACUCUGUGCCAG